GGAAGGGGAAGAGGAAGGGGGAGGGGGAGGGGGAGGGGAACACAACCUGCAGAUGGCAACAAUGAACCAAUUGCAAGUGAAGCUGUGAGGGGAAGAGGAAGGGGAAGGGGAAGGGGAAGUGGCAGAGGAAGAGGAAGAGGUGCAGCACGGGGUGCCAAUGAUACAAACACAAGUGCGGCUUGACAGAGAAGGGGAAGAGGAGGGACACCAGGGAGGCUAGCAAGUUUGUUAGGUUUAGAUGCUUAAAUAUGUGCUGUUUGACACCUAGACUAGUAAAAAAACUCACUAUUACUAGGUUCUUUUGUUGGACAUGUCAUGCAGACUUGUACUUUGGAUCCUUAUGCAAGUUGGUGUGCAAAACUGUAGGUUGGGAUCUCAGAUUGACAUCCUUGAUGUGUUACAAUGUUAUAUAUGCUGCCAUGUUUGAAUCUAUGGAAGUUGUGUCAAAAUGCUA